UUUUAAGUGUCUCAACAGUUUUCAUAUUCUUUUUUAUUAUACAUGUGUGCUUAUGUUACCCAAGUAUUGUGUUUGUGAUUAGCUGCUUGUUUUGAAGGGACGCUGUCAGGUACCCAGACCUUCUCCAUUUCCAUUCUACAAUUUAAAUAAACCUUACUCACGAGCACACGCUUACCUGACUGAAGAUAAAAUGGCUGUGCACUUCAGGGC